CUGGCGGGCUGCAAAUUAUUGAUUUUAUGACAGAGGCUGCGGGCCGGUGGAAAUUUGAACAUUUCGCAUUUGGCCCCGGGGCCGGACUUUGGACAUGCCUGGUAUAGGAUAUCGUAUCAAACGAAUGCGAUUCUAAUAGUUUAUGUCAUAUUCAGAAGUUGAGGGCAUCGUGGCUAUCAGUGAUUAUGACGGAGAUAUUUCAGAUACGAGUGUUGUCGGAAAUUUUGAUGCAAUAGAAGAGCGAGAGGAAUUUAACUCGGAAGCCGACAUUCAACCCGACCUUGAAUUACAGGAGAUCUGUACAGCGUCGUGAAUUCUUUGAAGCAAAGACUGCUUUAUUGGAAAACUUUGUUCAGCUUGAUAAUACAUUUGAAUCUUGUCGAGGUACGGAAUUUGUCCCUUUACUGUACAACACAUUUGAAAAUUUGAAUAGUUGCCUCACAGUGAACAUAAAGUUGAUUAGAAAAUUGUAUGAUAGAUAUGGUGCAGAAACGACCGAAAUGCAGUUCGGAUACAGUGACUAAAAAAAUGAGAACCAAAAAUUCUCCAUUACCCCAUGAUUUCUGUUAUGAUGGAAACCAGAGUUCGUCAAAUGGUC
ensembl:lncRNA